rnacentral:rRNA from 1 species
GUCGACGGAGUGCCCAUGACAGAGGAUUCGUCCAUGGAUUGGGUUACUUAGUGGCGGACGGGUGAGUAACGCGUGAGGAACCUGCCUCGGAGUGGGGAAUAACACAACGAAAGCUGUGCUAAUACCGCAUGAUACAGUUGGGUCGCAUGACUCUGACUGUCAAAGAUUUAUCGCUCUGAGAUGGCCUCGCGUCUGAUUAGCUAGUUGGUGGGGUAACGGCCCACCAAGGCGACGAUCAGUAGCCGGACUGAGAGGUUGACCGGCCACAUUGGGACUGAGACACGGCCCAGACUCCUACGGGAGGCAGCAGUGGGGAAUAUUGGGCAAUGGGCGCAAGCCUGACCCAGCAACGCCGCGUGAAGGAAGAAGGCUUUCGGGUUGUAAACUUCUUUUCUCAGGGACGAAGCAAGUGACGGUACCUGAGGAAUAAGCCACGGCUAACUACGUGCCAGCAGCCGCGGUAAUACGUAGGUGGCAAGCGUUAUCCGGAUUUACUGGGUGUAAAGGGCGUGUAGGCGGGAUCGCAAGUCAGAUGUGAAAACUGGAGGCUCAACCUCCAGCCUGCAUUUGAAACUGUGGUUCUUGAGUACUGGAGAGGCAGACGGAAUUCCUAGUGUAGCGGUGAAAUGCGUAGAUAUUAGGAGGAACACCAGUGGCGAAGGCGGUCUGCUGGACAGCAACUGACGCUGAGGCGCGAAAGCGUGGGGAGCAA